GAUAGGCAGGACUAGGUGAGAAGGAGGAUGCUGGGAAAUGUAGUAAGAGAUGAAGUCACCAUGUGAUCGCCAGGAAGAAAGGAUGCACAUGUCCAGUGUCCUCCAUAAGAUAAGUCUUUAUAAAAUGUAUAGAUUAAUGGUUAUGUUUGAUACUUAAGACAGAAAUAGCAUAUAAGAAAUCCUAGUCAUUGGCCAGCAGCAUUGUACCUAAUAUAAGUCUCUGUGUGUUAUUUUGGGGCCCUAACAUGGCGGCGGGCGGAACUCAGGAGGCUGGCGGAAAGAGUUAUCGUUACAAAAUGGCGCCCACGUAGUUUUAUGAACUUCCACAUUAAAACUUGACAAAAUCUUAAAAGGGGAUUUUAGAAGCAAAAGAACAGAGACAAGCAUGACUUCUUGGUAGCAGCAUUUUCUCUGGUGGUCUCUAUUUUGCUAGAGACAAACGAGAAUAGAGUGGCUCCCUUAAGGGGGGUUUUCUGACUCAGCAUAAGCAGAAAAAACCACAGGGCUCUUUAAGAGGCCCUGCUCACAAUUGAAUAGUGGUGUACGAGCAGCUGGCAAUGGCAGUGACUGCAGAAUGCUACUUGAUGGUAGCAUAGACCAAGGCAGUGAGCACAGCACUCAGUCCUGGCGGUAAAUGUACCCCCUCCAUCUUGCAAAGACAGGGGCUUUGUUGUUUAGCAGAUAAAAGACUUCAUGGCCACAAAAAGGGAAAGAUUUACAGUAAAGACAGAUUCAGAUGAAGAAAAACCUCUAAAGGUUUACAAUGUGUUUAAAAAUAUACGUAGGCUUGUGAGAGAAAAAGAAACUGGAUAAAGUGUUUAAAAAAACAAAGAAGAAGAAAUAGAGUAGCUAGGUGUGGUGGCACAUGCCUUUAAUCCCAGCACUCAGGAGGCAGAGGCAAGCAGAUCUCUGUGACUUCAAGGCCAGCCUGGUGUCCAGAGUGAGUUCAAGGGCAGCCAAAGUUCCACAGAGAAACCCUGUCUCAUAAAAGGAAAAAAUAAAAGUAAAAGAAAUAGAGUAAUGAAAAGCCACGUAAAGAUGGAAGAUACACAGAGAGUCUGGAUACUGUAUGCUAUUGUGUUGUCUUCGAAUUGUUUAAUUUCUGGGGAAGGAGCAACAACUGCUAAAAGAUAUUUGAUUAUCAAUGCUGCUGAAUUAAUCCAACUUAUACAUUUUAAAAAUGCUUUGACUUCAAAAUUUAAGUCUAAGGACAGGCUACUUGGGAAAAGAAUUUCUGCUUUUGUUUUCACAGAAAAUGAAAAGCUGUGGAUUCCUUCCAGACUAAUAUGGUUUGAUCAAGCAAGACCCCCUGAAGCAGUGGCCCAACUGAUCCUAAAUCCAAAAGAGCUGAGAUGAUGCAGUCAUAGACCACUACAGCCAGGGUUUCUGUGGUUUAUCAUGAUUCCCAUGGCAAAUACUGCAGUAAGCUCAUCCUCCGGAACCCACAAAGAUGAUAUGCUGGGCAACCGAGUUUCCUAGUGGGAUGUAAAAGUCAUCAGGUGUUGGAUGUGGUGGGUACACCCCUAACCCCAGCUCUCGGGAGGUGGCAGUAGAAGGAUUUCUCUGAGUUUGAAGCCAGCCUUGCCUACAUAGCAAAUUCCAAGCCAGCCAGGGCUGCACAGUCUCUGCUUCCUGUUUGUGGAUUGAGAUGGGUGUUCUCAGCUGCUGCUCCCAUACCGUGCCUGCCCACUACUGCUGUGCUCCCACCAUGAUGGUGAUGGACUCCUUUUCCUCUAGAACUGGUCUUGGUAUGUUACCAAAGAAGAAAAGUAAGACAAUGGGAUAUAUUUAAAAAAAUCAAGAAAUUAUUAUUUGUUGAAUUGGCCAUGUAUCUCAAAGGGAAAGUCCUUGCCUUACAAAAACAGUUGUUGCCCCCACUUUAUUUAAGACAGGGUCUCUCUGUGUAGCUCUGGCUAUCAUGAAACUCAAUAUGUAGACCAAGCUAGCUUCAAACUCACAGUGAUCCACCUGUGUCUGCCUCUCAAGUGCUGAGAUUAAAGGCAUGGCCCAUUACCCCAUGUUUACUCUUCACUGCAGUCAUGCUUGUAGAAAAGAUUCUAUUAUUUUUGUUUAAUUCAGUUUAAGUGUGAUGGUG
rnacentral:lncRNA from 1 species